rnacentral:rRNA from 1 species
GAUGAACGCUGGCGGCGUGCCUAAUACAUGCAAGUCGAGCGAACAGACGAGGAGCUUGCUCCUCUGACGUUAGCGGCGGACGGGUGAGUAGCACGUGGAUAACCUACCUAUAAGACUGGGAUAACUUCGGGAAACCGGAGCUAAUACCGGAUAAUAUAUUGAACCGCAUGGUUCAAUAGUGAAAGACGGUUUUGCUGUCACUUAUAGAUGGAUCCGCGCCGCAUUAGCUAGUUGGUAAGGUAACGGCUUACCAAGGCAACGAUGCGUAGCCGACCUGAGAGGGUGAUCGGCCACACUGGAACUGAGACACGGUCCAGACUCCUACGGGAGGCAGCAGUAGGGAAUCUUCCGCAAUGGGCGAAAGCUUGACGGAGCAACGCCGCGUGAGUGAUGAAGGUCUUCGGAUCGUAAAACUCUGUUAUUAGGGAAGAACAAAUGUGUAAGUAACUAUGCACGUCUUGACGGUACCUAAUCAGAAAGCCACGGCUAACUACGU